CGAGCGGUAACAGAUCCAGCUUGCUGGAUGCUGACGAGCGGCGGACGGGUGAGUAAUGCAUAGGAAUCUGCCCGAUAGUGGGGGAUAACCUGGGGAAACCCAGGCUAAUACCGCAUACGUCCUACGGGAGAAAGGGGGCUCCGGCUCCCGCUAUGGGAUGAGCCUAUGUCGGAUUAGCUAGUUGGUGAGGUAACGGCUCACCAAGGCCACGAUCCGUAGCUGGUCUGAGAGGAUGAUCAGCCACAUCGGGACUGAGACACGGCCCGAACUCCUACGGGAGGCAGCAGUGGGGAAUAUUGGACAAUGGGGGAAACCCUGAUCCAGCCAUGCCGCGUGUGUGAAGAAGGCCCUCGGGUUGUAAAGCACUUUCAGCGAGGAAGAACGCCUAGCGGUUAAUACCCGCUAGGAAAGACAUCACUCGCAGAAGAAGCACCGGCUAACUCCGUGCCAGCAGCCGCGGUAAUACGGAGGGUGCAAGCGUUAAUCGGAAUUACUGGGCGUAAAGCGCGCGUAGGUGGCUUGAUAAGCCGGUUGUGAAAGCCCCGGGCUCAACCUGGGAACGGCAUCCGGAACUGUCAAGCUAGAGUGCAGGAGAGGAAGGUAGAAUUCCCGGUGUAGCGGUGAAAUGCGUAGAGAUCGGGAGGAAUACCAGUGGCGAAGGCGGCCUUCUGGACUGACACUGACACUGAGGUGCGAAAGCGUGGGUAGCAAACAGGAUUAGAUACCCUGGUAGUCCACGCCGUAAACGAUGUCGACCAGCCGUUGGG
rnacentral:rRNA from 1 species